GACGAACGCUGGCGGCGUGCUUAACACAUGCAAGUCGAACGGAAAGGCCCCUUUGGGGGUACUCGAGUGGCGAACGGGUGAGUAACACGUGAUUAACCUGCCCUUGACUUCGGGAUAACUUCAGGAAACUGGGGCUAAUACCGGAUAGGAAUCCUUGCUGCAUGGUGGGGGUUGGAAAGCUUCGGCGGUUUUGGUUGGACUCGCGGCUUUUCAGCUUGUUCGUGUGGUAGCGGCUUACCAAGGCUUUGACGGGUAGCCGGCCCGAGAGGGCGACCGGCCACAGUGGGACUGGGACUGAGACAAGGCUCCGACGGGUACCAGCGGCAGCGGUUAUGGCACUUUGAGCAUGGGCCAGAUGCAGCUCCGCCGAGGGCGGGAGGACGAUGAACGGGUUGUGAUCCGCUUUCAGUAGUAGCGAAGCUGGUGAUGACAGUACCUGCAGAAGAAGCACCGGCUAACUACGUG
rnacentral:rRNA from 1 species